AUUUGCGAGGCACGCGACGGGAGCCUUGAGGAGCUUUCCAUGCUAAAGCGCCUCUAAACCCAGGUCUCACUUGGAGAUCGAUCUCACUCGGAGAUCAUGAGUCUGUUGUAGAGUGGCGUCAUUUUACGUCCAGUCCACCGAACCAGUGUGCACAAUUGCUGGCGGUGGAUACCAGACUCCCCCCACGGGUCGUCAUGUGCGAGGCAAGGUCGGGGAUAAGAUAUCACGGCAGCAAUUGAAGAUAAAAUUGAGAUUCUUUAUGUAAAUGCUAUUAGGCUGCUACAUUUGCACAAUGAGUGAGUGCAAAGCUUCUCUUUAAUUGAUAUUUUUCAUUAUUCAAGCAUACUAUUACCUAAUACGUCUGAGUCUACAUUCACUUUAUCCACGAAAAUGCUUCAAAAUCGCGUUUUUCGUCGGUAAAUAGCAUUGUAACCUUGCGUCAGUUGACACACGCUUUCACUGCCGCAUCCGGACUCUCAGUGCAUAUUUGUCUAUGCAUCAUGAGCUUAAGUAUUGUUUCCUUUUUCGUUAGAUCAAGCUUCAACUUCUAGCGCUUAAUCGCUCAUGCCAAGCAAAGUUUGCGGACUUGUUAAAGGUUAAAAGAAAAUAUAUUUCCUUCAACAGAUGUCUAUAAAAUGAGGCUGCAAAUGAGCGGUUUUCUUCUGGCAAUUAUGGUACUAUAGCACGUUGCUGAUGGAAGGCGGUCAAGAAAAAGAUUAUUUGCAGUUGUGCCUCAUCGUCACUUAUUUGCCAAAUGAAAUUUUAAUUGCUGCUGUUAUCCCCGGCUAUAGUGUCUACGGUGGCGAGCUUUCUCCGCGGACCUUCAACUUCAAGACCUUCUACUUCAAGACCUUCAACUUCUAAACAACUAAAGGGAUAUUCUCAUACUGCACUGUCCAUGACGUGCAUGUCGGGUCAUCGACAUGCAUGUUCAAUACCAUUAGUGCACAUGCUGCACCAGACUAUAUUUACGGACGUUGACUGUUUGCUUUAGGCACUGUUUCAAGCAUUGUACGAUGGCCGAUAACAAAAGUAUUUGUUAACGUUUUCAAGUUCCAUUCGGAGUAUCCGAAACUACGACGCAAUGUUAGUCGGAACUAACGUAUCUAGUUAAUCAUGUUAUCGCAUGAUGUUCUUGCUCAUUGGCAAACAUUAUUUCAGCAGUCGAUACGUCCUCCAAACUUCAGUAACUGUUACUAUAUGGUCCCCGUUCGUCACAAACGACCGUUGACAUUUUGUCAACCUCAAAUUCGAAUAUAUUAACCGUUUACACGCACGAGAAUAUCCCUUUAUCCAAACUAGCAAGUGUGUCUACUGUUUUCUUACUAGGCAAACAAAAGUUUGUCACAGCAUGUGCGCAGUUCACUUUACCUAUGUGCAUUCAUACUAAAAGCCAUUCGUCCACAAGCAAGUUAUUUAUUUGGGCUAUUGACGUAAGCUUUCAUGAAGGCCAAACCAAUGCUGAUUCGUCAAUGCUGAUUGUCAGCUUGAAAGUAAAGAUGAGCAAAGUGGUUCAACUGAAUCUUAUGGUUGCAGUAGGGCAUAUUAGAAGUAAGUGACAAGUAUGUGUCAGCAAUUGUUUAUGCUUCUUAACCCUAGAUACUUUUGAUUCAAUCCUUUUGGUGAUGACGUAAUGUGGCAGAAAACAGUAGACACACUUCAUCUCAUCGGAAACCCUGAAUGAUUGGUAUUUGUGAGCAUGUGUGCCUGUUAGUGUGUAAGGGUGGAUGUGGGUGUGUGGGUAUGUAUGUGCGUAUGUGAGAGUGUGCGUGUCAUCUUACACGUAAUUUAGUGAAUGAGUGAAUUGGUACUAGUUUUCAAGUAAAUACGUGCAUGAGGGCGUGUAGUCAGUGGUGUAUGGAACUAGCAUUGUGCCUGCCUGCUGCCAACGAAAUAUGCAAGCCCACACAGAGAAAACAGUUUUAUUGUGCAAAACUACAUGCUGCUGGCAGGGUUUACAUGCAAGUCACAUAUUGCAGGUCUACCAUAAGCAGAGCGAUGUGACAUCUGAUAAGUACCUAACUCACAGCAACACAUACUCUGCAUGUCCAGGGAAAGUGAGUUGUGCUCGGAACAGAUUGGCCAGACAGUUUUGUCCUAUCAAAUUCAGAAUUGUUUCAUCCUCCUCACAGUUGCCAUUAACAUCAUGAGCACACAUUAUUGCUAGAUCUGAAUGCCAGCUGCCUAUUGCACCGCUGGCACGUAGUUUGAGACAAAGAUGCCGCCAGUUUUCCACCUCGCUGCUGAUACAAUGCAAUACUGCUACAAAAUGUCCGUGUUCUGUGUUUUUAGUGUUGUAUGUUUGUAUAUGAGUCUUGCGUCGUGUGAACAUUACCUACAUGAGUUUAAAGUGUUCCCGCGAAAGUAGGUACUGAAUUAGCUCAAGCCAGGAUUGCGUUGCGGAUAUAUUUGUAGGCCAUACAAUGUUUUAUGGCGUCAUUUACGACAUUUCCUGUUUUUCUUGUCGUUGUAUGCACGUGAGUUGUGCCGCAUGUUGCGCUUGUAAAUCAUGUUCUCAAUGUCAUUUUCUUUUGGUACAAUUGGUCACCACUACACAUCACUCGCAUACACUCGCCCAAGCAAGUCGGAUAUCAAUCACUGUCCAGAAGUGCAUGAUGCAUUCAACCACGCAUAGAACACUGGCACACCAAGAACAUGAACUCACGCAAAAACGAGAGGGCUAUCACACGACUUCGCAUUGGACACACCGCUAUCACACACAACUACAUCAUCACAAGAAGCCCGAGACCGAAAUGCAACACCUGCAACACUUUCAUCACUGUCAAACAUCUGCUACUCACAUGCCCACAAUACCAACACCACAGGACACACAUACAAACAUACUGCAGAGACGCCAACAUCCCACUAACACUCACAACACUGCUCGGGGACUUACACCCCGAGCUAACAACACUACUCAUCCACUAAAGACACAACACUGGGCUGAUCAAUGACCUGUAAAUCUCCUCCCCUAGAGCCAAGGACAAAAAAGCCAAAAAAGCCAAAAAAAAAAAGCAAAAAAGAAAAAAAAUAUUCAAAACAAUGAGAAUCAAAAUAAAAGACCCCAGAAUGGCAAAAUGGCAAAAAAAAAAAACAAAAAAAAAUAAUAGAAGGGGCAAUCCGGCUACCCGGGAGGAGAUAGCUAGGAACCCAGUCCCACCCCUCAGCCCACCCUUACGAGCCAAGAAGACAACGGACACUUCAAGGCAACGGACGGACCAACAACGAAGACGGACGACAGAACCGGGCCCAAAUACAGGACGCUGUGGUGGCCCGUAAGCUACAAAUACCAUACCAUACCAUACCAGUGCAUCAUGCAGCAGAAUAAGCUUCAUUGAACACACUCGUCAUCAUGAACGGCAUCUAGGAGUUUCAUGAGUUUGGAUCUGUGACCAGCUGAUUUCGCAGUAUCCAAUGGCAACCGUGUAUGACCAGGCGCCGCUUGGACGCCUUGUCCAGUCACGUCUUCUGGGACUGUGUGAUGACUGCCUCUGCAUUCUCAAGUGCCAGUUUCUGCCUCCGGCCCAUUUCAUUAUCAAAGGAUGCUGUUAGCUUAACGAACAGCUCUGCUCCAAGAUUCCAAACGGUUUUACGGUACUGUAUGCCUACAAAACGUUAAUAUUUUUUGGAGGCGGUAAUACUCGGAUGAACUGACCUUUAUGGGUGCAUUACCAGUCAUCUUUACCGUCGAUACCGUUGAAGAUUUUACCGUCGAUCACGGAGCACCCAUUGCGCUGGCCGUUGCUGGCACUUUUUUAUUUGUCACUAGCUAUUAGUUAUCUGCAGAUAUACAUUAGCCACCUGUACACCCGCUUACACUAGGUCUCAUCAUCUAGUUCUACAUAUGUGUGUGUGUUUGUUUUAAUUGUAUUGCCAAUGAAUUCGGUAGACAUGCUCCGCCCGCAAACAUGUACCACAUGAUGCAGUUCACUGAAUGUAGCAGUUAAUCACUCGUAAAAAGCGGUCAUGUUUUCGUAUAGUGUAGGUAUGCAUCUAUGUAAGCAUGUGUUCACACUCAUGAGCGAUCCACACAUGAUAUUGCAUUUCCUGUUCAGUUAUAUUUUUAGCACUGGAACACGAUGCUCAUACACUGUGUUGUUAUCUUUCUUUUUUCGCCUGCUCCUUCCUCCAACUUGUGUCUUUGAGUAUUUCAGUCACAUGCUCAAACGUUCUUAAAUGCUCUCGCCAUCGGUUUACGGAUGCGUUGAAAACGGACAUGUGAUGACCAAAUUUAACAAUAUGCGGACAAUGGAUCGACUUCUUGAAGCCUGUGGACGUGAUACACCUUCUCCAUCACCAUCAAGAGAUCAACAUUUUCGAAGACACUUGCGUACGGCUGCAGUGUCCGGCGCAAUGCUGAAUGCGACCUGUUAUCUGUUGGAUCUACUCUGUGAGCCCGAACCCCAGUGCAAAUCCCGAAAGAAGAUAACUGCUUGUUUUCUUCACCGCCACCAGUCUACCUGCUCUCUGCACACUCGGCAGAGCGCGGCAGGGCACCCCACGGAGCUGCACUAGUCACAUCCGGGCCCCACGCCGGUCGACGGCCGAUGCGAUGGAGGCACUACUCCGAGGCACUACUGGGAGGCCUGCGGCGCGGACGACGGAUGCGGCAGUUGGUCAAGACACGGCAGCCUACUCGAGGUGCUUCUCGCCUGGAGGACGCAGGCGAAUCGCGUUAUCCUAGCUGUGCCUCGUCAUGGUGCGAUGAGCCUUAAUAGACUAAUGCAUAUUCUUCCUUUGGUUGUAAUUCAUUUGCUGCUGCCCGCUGGGCUAAGGAGUAACUCUGUGCGCCUACUUUGUGCAGACGCUCGUCCAGUGCCGCCCUUCGUUUGCCGCACAUAUCUUUAUUUAUUCUUUGUUACAAUUCCGUCUUUGGUCAUUUUUUUUUUACCAUGGGGGCACUUGAAAGUUUUGUUUUUAAAUCUGUGGACAUUGAACCUGGAAUCGGUUUUUUGUCGGAUUUCGGUUUUGUUUUUGCACUGUGGAAAUAUCUCGUUCAAUAUUUUUUUAAGAUAGGGCGUGUUAAAACUUUUAGUCUCAUUACUCCUCUGUGCAUUCUAAAGUACUAUAAUGUGCAUCUCAAGUGUUUGGUGCUGUACUGUUAUUAUUUAUGGUUAAUCCAGUGCUGAUUUAUGGUUAAUCCAGUUUUUAUUCGAUUGAAUCGUUGUGUGUAAUGUGCAUGACAUCCGCGUACCGCCUGUAGCAGUGUUAUAUAUUUUCAUUUAUGCUGGAAAAUAAUAACUUUCUUGUUCA
rnacentral:lncRNA from 1 species